rnacentral:rRNA from 1 species
UACGUAGGUGGCAAGCGUUAUCCGGAAUUAUUGGGCGUAAAGCGCGCGCAGGCGGUUUCUUAAGUCUGAUGUGAAAGCCCACGGCUCAACCGUGGAGGGUCAUUGGAAACUGGGGAACUUGAGUGCAGAAGAGAAAAGCGGAAUUCCACGUGUAGCGGUGAAAUGCGUAGAGAUGUGGAGGAACACCAGUGGCGAAGGCGGCCCCCUGGGCCGGCCCUGACACUGAGACGCGAAGGCGUGGGGAGCGAACGGG